CCCUUCUCAGGGUUGCACCUGGAGAGUUUCUAGAACUCUAUCAGCCUCGGCUGAGGGAGAGUCAAGCAGAGGCCUGACCAUUCCAUUCCCAGCUUGGCCAGUGGCUAGCGAGUGGAAGGCAAUCUGCUACAAGC